CAGGAAGCUGUUCUUUAAGAUUAUAGAUUAAGAAGCAGAUGAAGGAAAGCAACAACUCAUUCACUGUGUAUUUUGAGAAAAGGCCAUCGACAACCCCUGCACAGCAUUUUGCAAACAUUUUACGAUCAAUUACAAGCUUGAUGAUUUGGCUUUAUUUGUAACAUGUGCACUGUGACUUGGACACUGAUGCCCCUCUUUCUGGCUGCUGUUGUCUGCAAUACAUGGAACGUGGUCUACCAACAGCAACGAAUCUGUGCAGUGAAAGGCUCUUCUGCUGUCAUUCCUUGUUUGUUCUACUAUCCUGACAACCUGAGAGUGAAAAACGUCAUGUGGGGUCAAGUUAAGUCUCAUACUUUCAAGACUCGCUUCAUUUCUGACAGGAACUUAAAAAAAGUCACAGCAAGAUUCCAGUACAUUGGUGACAAACAUCACAAUUGUUCUUUAAGAAUACACCAAGUGGAGCAUAAUGAUGCAGGAAAACACGUCUUCAGAUUUACAACUAACAACAAAAGGGACAAAUGGACUGGAAAAGAUGGCUCAACAUUGAAGGUUGUUGAUUUGAGAAUUUCGGUGACAAAGCCUGAUGGAAACGGAACAACAAAGGAGGGCGACUCUGUGAAUCUGACCUGCAGAAACAGCUGUGAUGGCGGGAACAUUUUGUCUGCUUUCACCUGGUUUAAGAAUGGAGAACCCAUAGCUGAGGGACCUACAUUUUAUUUAAGCAACAUGUCCUCCACAAACUCUGGAAACUACACCUGUUCUCUGAAAAGACACACAGCAGCAUCUUCAGGAGUCAUACAUAUUGAUGUUGAAUAUAGCCCCAAGAACACAUCAGUGUGUGUCAGACCAUCGAUGGAGGCAGACGCCGGCAGCAACAUAACCCUGACCUGCAGCAGCCAUGCAAACCCCCCAGUGGAGAAUUAUUCUUGGGUUAAAAUAGAUGACGGUGAUGUAAUGGAUGUUGGAAAAGGGCCUGUGUUCGUCCCUGAUGAUGGUGGCCAGUAUUUAUGCAGUGCCAGCAACAAACAUGGAAGCCAAAACUCCUCUGUUGUUACUUUAAAAAUGAAACCAUACUGGGCAACGUGUACCAGAGAUGUACUAAUCAUUGCUACUGUUGCUGUGUUCCUGAUUGUUAUUCUCGUUACUGCCGUCAGAAGACUCCACAAAAAAAAGACGUGGGUACCAGAGACAGAGGAGGACAUGCAGAAUACAGACUAUGUCAACUGGCUGCCCUGUGACAGCCAAUCACAAGAGGGCGAUCAGUGUGAGGAAGCAGCCACAGAAGUCGUCUAUUCAACUGUACACUUCACCAACAAAAGACAGUCAAACAUGCUACAGCAGACGGACUCCCAUAAUGAAGUCGUAGUUUACAUCACAGCGUGCAGGAACCAUCCAUCCAACCCUUUAUAGUUCAAGCCUCUCCAAUUUGAAAUUAAACACUCGCCGUUUUGCAGUAAUACGUGGGUUUUGAGGGCAUUUGGUUUCUCAUUUUUUUCUUACUUAUUGAAAAUCUGUAAGAUGUGCUGCACCUGCAAUGUAUUCAAGAUAAAUAUUAUAAACCAGGUGAGAAAAAAAAUGUGAAGAGGCAUCUUCAUGAAGGUACAAAUUACUGUGUAAAUUAGUUUUUGUUUUAAUGCAUGUUAUUGUAUUUCUUUCACCGUUCAUCUGUGUCAAAUGUGUUUGGAUUGUGUGCGUGCACACACUGCCUUUUAAGUUGCUUUCUGAUGCUCAGUGUUUUAUAAAUCACAUUAACUCCUGUUUUGUGCUUUUGGCACUGUAAAAGUGAAUUUACUUCCUGUAGUCUUUAGUUCCAGAGCAUCUCAGGAGUUGUAAACCUGCACUACUGACAAGGCAGAAAUAUGUGAAAUAAAUAUUUUAUGUAAGAUACAAAUUAUUGUAUUGGAUAAAGGAGAGCUAAACAAAAACAUUGUCACCUACAGUAAAACUAAACGCGUCCCUGCUGUUUAGUGGUCUUUCUUUUCUUUGAUGCAAUGAGAUAUACUCACCAGGUCCACAUACACAUAACACAAACCACAUAGACAUGCACUGCAAAAACUACGUAAUGUUUAAAAUCUCUAAAACACACUUCGACAUAAUGUACCAAGAGAAUGAGGUGACUUCACUUGUUUCUAGUAAUCUAGGAAAUUGAUGCAGCAGAAACAGAAACAUCCUCUUCUUUAUCCCACACAUUCUUCGUCCUCGCAAAACGUGCCUGCAUUACCCACGAUGCAUCUCUAUGGCUGACAUUUUGAUCAUGCAGAGCAAGAAGUGGACUUCUGGUAUGAUGAGCUCCCUUCUCUUCAACUCCACACCUCCAGGUUCUUUUCAUUUUCAAACUUGUAGUGUUCAGCCCCCCCAACCAACGCUGAUUUAAGUGACAUCAUUUGAGGCAAUUUAUCAGACUUCGCUCAGUUCUCUGGAGCCACAACAGGCUUUAUACAUCUUUUUCACAUAUGCAGUGCAGUGGUACUUUUGAUGUGUAAAGUUGAGUUUAAUUGCUGAUGAUGUGUAUUGGCAAAGCAUAUAACAAGGUACAGGUUCAACAACACUGUAGUUUACACUGUAGUUCACAUUUUGCAUACACAUAGCACUUAGUGGCAAGUUAUCAAAAGUAAACAUGGAAAAUGAAUAUGGCUAAAACAUACUUUAAGAACAGAGUACAGUCAAUACACUAAAUAGUGACACUUGGUUGUGGGGUGUUUAAAAAAUGUCACAGUACCUUUGACUGCUCUGCCCACAAUAAAACAACAUUAUUAGUGUGUGCUGUGUGCCAUUUCCUCUCUGCAGGGCCUGGUUUCAUAUGUAUACCGCUCAGGAUCCGAUUGAAGCUGUGCAUUGAGUCUGUGGUGUGAGCGACCUCAUUUCAGGGGCAUAGAAUGUUUUCAAGAGACGAUCCAAAAGGGUACUUAUGGUACAUUACAGGAAACUUUGGUUACAACGUGACACACUGACUCUGUGAAAACAAUUAAAGUAUUCUGCAGAGACUUUGAGCUGAAAGUUUAAAAUCAAAUAGAGAUGUGUGUUGAAGGCAGAAACCUGACAUGGACACUGAUGCUUCUGUUUCUGAGCAGUGCUCUUUGCAGUGAGUGGAAAGUGACUUAUCACCAACAACAUAUCUGUGCAGUGAAAGACUCGUCUGUUGUCAUUCCUUGUUCAUUUUCCUAUCCUGGCAAUCUGAUAGUGCAAAGUACUGCAUGGGGUCAUGAAAAAUAUCACAUUUUUAAUGGUCCUUUCAAUUUUUACAGUAACUUGAAUAAAACGAAAACGAGAUUUCAGUAUAUUGGUGACACAAAUCGCAAUUGUUCUUUAAAAAUAAACCAAGUGGAGCACAAUGAUACAGGAAAACACGUCUUCAGAUUUACAACUAAUGACGAAAGAGGCAAGUGGACUGGUAUGGAUGGCUCAACAUUAAAGGUUGUUGAUUUGAGCAUUUCAUUGACAAAGCCUAAUGGAAACGGAAUAACAAAGGAGGGCGACUCUGUGAAUCUGACCUGCAGAAACAGCUGUGAUGGCGGGAACAUUUUAUCUGCUUUCACCUGGUUUAAGAAUGGAGAACCCAUAGCUGAGGGACCUACAUUUUAUUUAAGCAACAUGUCCUUCACAAACUCUGGAAACUACACUUGUUCUCUAAAAGGACACACAGCAGCAUCUUCAGGAGUCAUACAUAUUGAUGUUGAAUAUAGCCCCAAGAACACAUCAGUGUGUGUCAGACCAUCGAUGGAGGCAGACGCCGGCAGCAACAUAACCCUGACCUGCAGCAGCCAUGCAAACCCCCCAGUGGAGAAUUAUACUUGGGUUAAAAUAGAUGACGGUGAUGUAAUGGAUGUUGGAAAAGGGCCUGUGUUCGUCCCUGAUGAUGGUGGCCAGUAUUUAUGCAGUGCCAGCAACAAACAUGGAAGCCAAAACUCCUCUGUUGUUACUUUAAAAAUUAAAUCAGAUUGGACAUUUACCAAAGAUGUACUAAUCAUUGCCAUAAUUGCUGCUGUUUCUGUGCUAAUGAUUGUGACCAUUGUUUUUGCCAUCAGAAGACGCAACAGAAAAAGGACAAGAGCACCAGAGAGGAGUGAGGAGUGUGAGGAAGACACCCAGAAUUCAGUCUAUGUCAACUAUCGUGUUUUGGACAAUAACCAAUCACAAGAGAGAAAUGGAUGUGAGGAACAAACACUAGAGCUCAUCUACACAACUGUUGACUUUCACACCGAGAGAAAGAUGAAGCAGCAGAUGGCCUCCCAUAACGAUGACGAAGGGGUGGUUUACAGCACAGUGUGCAGGAAACUCUUGAAUCCUACAUAUGUUGAAACUCCCUGAAUGGACAACA